UACAGAGGGUGCAAGCGUUAAUCGGAAUUACUGGGCGUAAAGCGUGCGCAGGCGGUUUUGUAAGCCAGAUGUGAAAUCCCCGGGCUUAACCUGGGAAUGGCAUUUGGGACUGCAAGGCUUGAGUGCGGCAGAGGAGACUGGAAUUCCUGGUGUAGCAGUGAGAUGCGUAGAUAUCAGGAGGAAUACCGAUGGCGAAGGCAGGUCUCUGGGCUGACACUGACGCUCAUGCACGAAAGCGUGGGGAGCAAACAGG
rnacentral:rRNA from 1 species